CCUACGGGAGGCAGCAGUAGGGAAUAUUGCUCAAUGGGGGAAACCCUGAAGCAGCAACGCCGCGUGGAGGAUGAAGGUUUUCGGAUUGUAAACUCCUUUUGUUAGAGAAGAUAAUGACGGUAUCUAACGAAUAAGCACCGGCUAAAUCCGUGCCAGCCGCCGCGGUAAUACGGAGGGUGCCAGUGUUACUCGGAAUCACUGGGCGUAAAGAGCGCGUAGGCGGGAUAGCAAGUCAGAUGUGAAAUCCGAUGGCUUAACCAUAUAACUGCAUUUGAAACUGUGAUUCUAGAGUAUGGGAGAGGUAGGUGGAAUGCUUGGUGUAGGGGUAAAAUCCGUAGAGAUCAAGAGGAAUACUCAUUGCGAAGGCGACCUGCUAGAACAUAACUGACGCUGAUGCGCGAAAGCGUGGGGAGCGAACAGGAUUAGAUACCCGAGUAGUC
rnacentral:rRNA from 1 species